UGGGGAAUUUUGGACAAUGGGCGAAAGCCUGAUCCAGCAAUGCCGCGUGUGUGAAGAAGGCCUUCGGGUUGUAAAGCACUUUUGUCCGGAAAGAAAUCCUUGGCUCUAAUACAGUCGGGGGAUGACGGUACCGGAAGAAUAAGCACCGGCUAACUACGUGCCAGCAGCCGCGGUAAUACGUAGGGUGCAAGCGUUAAUCGGAAUUACUGGGCGUAAAGCGUGCGCAGGCGGUUUGCUAAGACCGAUGUGAAAUCCCCGGGCUCAACCUGGGAACUGCAUUGGUGACUGGCAGGCUAGAGUAUGGCAGAGGGGGGUAGAAUUCCACGUNUGAGCAGUGAAAUGCGUGGAGAUGUGGAGGAAUACCGAUGGCGAAGGCAGCCCCCCUGGGCCAAUACUGACGCUCAUGCACGAAAGGCGUGGGGGAGCAAACAGGAUUAGAUACCCCUGGUAGUCCACGCCCUAAACGAUGUCAACUAGUUGUUGGGGAUUCAUUUCCUUAGUAACGUAGCUAACGCGUGAAGUUGACCGCCUGGGGAGUACGGUCGCAAGAUUAAAACUCAAAGGAAUUGACGGGGUCAUAGCUGUUUCCU
rnacentral:rRNA from 1 species